rnacentral:rRNA from 1 species
UAGGGAAUCUUCCACAAUGGGCGCAAGCCUGAUGGAGCAACACCGCGUGAGUGAAGAAGGGUUUCGGCUCGUAAAGCUCUGUUGUUGGAGAAGAAACGUGCGUGAGAGUAACUGUUCACGCAGUGACGGUAUCCAACCAGAAAGUCACGGCUAACUACGUGCC